rnacentral:rRNA from 1 species
AGUUUGAUCCGGGUUCCGAUUUAACCCUGGGCGGCCCAGCCCUAAUCCCUGCAAAGUUGAACGGGAAACGGGGAAAAAGCUUGCUUUUUCUGGCAGACGAGUGGCGGACGGGUGAGUAAUUUUGGGAAAGUUACCUGAUAGAGGGGGGACAACAGGUGGAAACGACCUGCUAAUACCGCAUAUAGCCUGAGGGUGAAAGCAGCAAUGCGCUAUCAGAUGCGCCCAAACGGGAUUAGCUAGUAGGUGAGGUAAAGGCUCACCUAGGCGACGAUCUCUAGCUGGUCUGAGAGGAUGAUCAGCCACAUUGGGACUGAGACACGGCCCAGACUCCUACGGGAGGCAGCAGUAGGGAAUAUUGCACAAUGGGGGAAACCCUGAUGCAGCCAUGCCGCGUGUGUGAAGAAGGCCUUCGGGUUGUAAAGCACCUUCGGAGGGGAGGAACAAAUGACGUUACCCUCAGAAGAAGCACCGGCUAACUCCGUGCCAGCAGCCGCGGUAAUACGGAGGGUGCAAGCGUUAAUCGGAAUAACUGGGCGUAAAGGGCAUGCAGGCGGUCGGACAAGUAGGAUGUGAAAUCCUGGGGCUCAACCUCAGAACUGCAUUCUAAACUGUUCGACUAGAGUAUUGCAGGGGGAGACGGAAUUUCAGGUGUAGCGGUGGAAUGCGUAGAUAUCUGAAAGAACACCAAAGGCGAAGGCAGUCUCCUGGGCAAAUACUGACGCUCAUAUGCGAAAGCGUGGGUAGCAAACAGGAUUAGAUACCCUGGUAGUCCACGCCGUAAACGAUGUCAAUUAGGAGCUUGGACUUAAGUCUGGGUUCCGUAGCAAACGCAAUAAA